AGUGAACGCUGGCGGUAGGCCUAACACAUGCAAGUCGAACGGCAGCACAGGAGAGCUUGCUCUCUAGGUGGCGAGUGGCGGACGGGUGAGGAAUACAUCGGAAUCUGCCCAGUCGUGGGGGAUAACGUAGGGAAACUUACGCUAAUACCGCAUACGACCUUCGGGUGAAAGAGGGGGAUCGCAAGACCUCUCGCGAUUGGAUGAGCCGAUGUCGGAUUAGCUAGUUAGCGGGGUAAUGGACCACCAAGGCGACGAUCCGUAGCUGGUCUGAGAGGAUGAUCAGCCACACUGGAACUGAGACACGGUCCAGACUCCUACGGGAGGCAGCAGUGGGGAAUAUUGGACAAUGGGCGCAAGCCUGAUCCAGCCAUACCGCGUGGGUGAAGGAGGCCUUCGGGUUGUAAAGCCCUUUCGUUGGGAAAGAAAUCUUUCAGGCUAAUACCCUGGGAGGAUGACGGUACCCAAAGAAUAAGCACCGGCUAACUUCGUG
rnacentral:rRNA from 1 species